GGACGAACGCUGGCGGCGUGCUUAACACAUGCAAGUCGAACGGAAAGGCCCUGCUUUUGUGGGGUGCUCGAGUGGCGAACGGGUGAGUAACACGUGAGUAACCUGCCCUUGACUUUGGGAUAACUUCAGGAAACUGGGGCUAAUACCGGAUAGGAGCUCCUGCUGCAUGGUGGGGGUUGGAAAGUUUCGGCGGUUGGGGAUGGACUCGCGGCUUAUCAGCUUGUUGGUGGGGUAGUGGCUUACCAAGGCUUUGACGGGUAGCCGGCCUGAGAGGGUGACCGGCCACAUUGGGACUGAGAUACGGCCCAGACUCCUACGGGAGGCAGCAGUGGGGAAUAUUGCACAAUGGGCGGAAGCCUGAUGCAGCAACGCCGCGUGCGGGAUGACGGCCUUCGGGUUGUAAACCGCUUUCGCCUGUGACGAAGCGUGAGUGACGGUAAUGGGUAAAGAAGCACCGGCUAACUACGUGCCAGCAGCCGCGGUGAUACGUAGGGUGCGAGCGUUGUCCGGAUUUAUUGGGCGUAAAGGGCUCGUAGGUGGUUGAUCGCGUCGGAAGUGUAAUCUUGGGGCUUAACCCUGAGCGUGCUUUCGAUACGGGUUGACUUGAGGAAGGUAGGGGAGAAUGGAAUUCCUGGUGGAGCGGUGGAAUGCGCAGAUAUCAGGAGGAACACCAGUGGCGAAAGGCGGUUCUCUGGGCCUUUCCUGACGCUGAGGAGCGAAAGCGUGGGGAGCGAACAGGCUUAGAUACCCUGGUAGCCCACGCUGUAAACGGUGGGUACUAGGUGUGGGGUCCAUUCCACGGGUUCCGUGCCGUAGCUAACGCUUUAAGUACCCCGCCUGGGGAGUACGGCCGCAAGGCUAAAACUCAAAGGAAUUGACGGGGCCCCGCACAAGCGGCGGAGCAUGCGGAUUAAUUCGAUGCAACGCGUAGAACCUUACCUGGGUUUGACAUGGAUCGGGAGCGCUCAGAGAUGGGUGUGCCUCUUUUGGGGUCGGUUCACAGGUGGUGCAUGGCUGUCGUCAGCUCGUGUCGUGAGAUGUUGGGUUAAGUCCCGCAACGAGCGCAACCCUUGUUCACUGUUGCCAGCACGUUAUGGUGGGGACUCAGUGGAGACCGCCGGGGUCAACUCGGAGGAAGGUGGGGAUGACGUCAAGUCAUCAUGCCCCUUAUGUCCAGGGCUUCACGCAUGCUACAAUGGCUGGUACAGAGAGUGGCGAGCCUGUGAGGGUGAGCGAAUCUCGGAAAGCCGGUCUCAGUUCGGAUUGGGGUCUGCAACUCGACCUCAUGAAGUCGGAGUCGCUAGUAAUCGCAGAUCAGCAACGCUGCGGUGAAUACGUUCCCGGGGCUUGUACACACCGCCCGUCAAGUCAUGAAAGUUGGUAACACCCGAAGCCGGUGGCCUAACCGUUGUGGGGGAGCCGUCGAAGGUGGGACUGGUGAUUAGGAC
rnacentral:rRNA from 1 species